rnacentral:rRNA from 1 species
UUAAGUUAUUAAGGGCGCACGGUGGAUGCCUUGGCACUAGAAGCCAAUGAAGGACGUUACUAACGACGAUAUGCUUUGGGGAGCUGUAAGUAAGCUUUGAUCCAGAGAUUUCCGAAUGGGGAAACCCAGCAUGAGUUAUGUCAUGUUAUCGAUAUGUGAAUACAUAGCAUAUCAGAAGGCACACCCGGAGAACUGAAACAUCUUAGUACCCGGAGGAAGAGAAAGAAAAUUCGAUUCCCUUAGUAGCGGCGAGCGAAANGGGAAGAGCCCAAACCAACAAGCUUGCUUGUUGGGGUUGUAGGACACUCUAUACGGAGUUACAAAGGACGACAUUAGACGAAUCAUCUGGAAAGAUGAAUCAAAGAAGGUAAUAAUCCUGUAGUCGAAAAUGUUGUCUCUCUUGAGUGGAUCCUGAGUACGACGGAGCACGUGAAAUUCCGUCGGAAUCUGGGAGGACCAUCUCCUAAGGCUAAAUACUCUCUAGUGACCGAUAGUGAACCAGUACCGUGAGGGAAAGGUGAAAAGCACCCCGGAAGGGGAGUGAAAUAGAACCUGAAACCGUGUGCUUACAAGUAGUCAGAGCCCGUUAAUGGGUGAUGGCGUGCCUUUUGUAGAAUGAACCGGCGAGUUACGAUUUGAUGCAAGGUUAAGCAGUAAAUGUGGAGCCGUAGCGAAAGCGAGUCUGAAUAGGGCGUUUAGUAUUUGGUCGUAGACCCGAAACCAGGUGAUCUACCCUUGGUCAGGUUGAAGUUCAGGUAACACUGAAUGGAGGACCGAACCGACUUACGUUGAAAAGUGAGCGGAUGAACUGAGGGUAGCGGAGAAAUUCCAAUCGAACCUGGAGAUAGCUGGUUCUCUCCGAAAUAGCUUUAGGGCUAGCCUCAAGUGAUGAUUAUUGGAGGUAGAGCACUGUUUGGACGAGGGGCCCCUCUCGGGUUACCGAAUUCAGACAAACUCCGAAUGCCAAUUAAUUUAACUUGGGAGUCAGAACAUGGGUGAUAAGGUCCGUGUUCGAAAGGGAAACAGCCCAGACCACCAGCUAAGGUCCCAAAAUAUAUGUUAAGUGGAAAAGGAUGUGGCGUUGCCCAGACAACUAGGAUGUUGGCUUAGAAGCAGCCAUCAUUUAAAGAGUGCGUAAUAGCUCACUAGUCGAGUGACACUGCGCCGAAAAUGUACCGGGGCUAAACAUAUUACCGAAGCUGUGGAUUGUCCUUUGGACAAUGGUAGGAGAGCGUUCUAAGGGCGUUGAAGCAUGAUCGUAAGGACAUGUGGAGCGCUUAGAAGUGAGAAUGCCGGUGUGAGUAGCGAAAGACGGGUGAGAAUCCCGUCCACCGAUUGACUAAGGUUUCCAGAGGAAGGCUCGUCCGCUCUGGGUUAGUCGGGUCCUAAGCUGAGGCCGACAGGCGUAGGCGAUGGAUAACAGGUUGAUAUUCCUGUACCACCUAUAAUCGUUUUAAUCGAUGGGGGGACGCAGUAGGAUAGGCGAAGCGUGCGAUUGGAUUGCACGUCUAAGCAGUAAGGCUGAGUAUUAGGCAAAUCCGGUACUCGUUAAGGCUGAGCUGUGAUGGGGAGAAGACAUUGUGUCUUCGAGUCGUUGAUUUCACACUGCCGAGAAAAGCCUCUAGAUAGAAAAUAGGUGCCCGUACCGCAAACCGACACAGGUAGUCAAGAUGAGAAUUCUAAGGUGAGCGAGCGAACUCUCGUUAAGGAACUCGGCAAAAUGACCCCGUAACUUCGGGAGAAGGGGUGCUCUUUAGGGUUAACGCCCAGAAGAGCCGCAGUGAAUAGGCCCAAGCGACUGUUUAUCAAAAACACAGGUCUCUGCUAAACCGUAAGGUGAUGUAUAGGGGCUGACGCCUGCCCGGUGCUGGAAGGUUAAGAGGAGUGGUUAGCUUCUGCGAAGCUACGAAUCGAAGCCCCAGUAAACGGCGGCCGUAACUAUAACGGUCCUAAGGUAGCGAAAUUCCUUGUCGGGUAAGUUCCGACCCGCACGAAAGGCGUAACGAUUUGGGCACUGUCUCAACGAGAGACUCGGUGAAAUCAUAGUACCUGUGAAGAUGCAGGUUACCCGCGACAGGACGGAAAGACCCCGUGGAGCUUUACUGUAGCCUGAUAUUGAAAUUCGGCACAGCUUGUACAGGAUAGGUAGGAGCCUUUGAAACGUGAGCGCUAGCUUACGUGGAGGCGCUGGUGGGAUACUACCCUAGCUGUGUUGGCUUUCUAACCCGCACCACUUAUCGUGGUGGGAGACAGUGUCAGGCGGGCAGUUUGACUGGGGCGGUCGCCUCCUAAAAGGUAACGGAGGCGCUCAAAGGUUCCCUCAGAAUGGUUGGAAAUCAUUCAUAGAGUGUAAAGGCAUAAGGGAGCUUGACUGCGAGACCUACAAGUCGAGCAGGGUCGAAAGACGGACUUAGUGAUCCGGUGGUUCCGCAUGGAAGGGCCAUCGCUCAACGGAUAAAAGCUACCCCGGGGAUAACAGGCUUAUCUCCCCCAAGAGUUCACAUCGACGGGGAGGUUUGGCACCUCGAUGUCGGCUCAUCGCAUCCUGGGGCUGUAGUCGGUCCCAAGGGUUGGGCUGUUCGCCCAUUAAAGCGGUACGCGAGCUGGGUUCAGAACGUCGUGAGACAGUUCGGUCCCUAUCCGUCGUGGGCGUAGGAAAUUUGAGAGGAGCUGUCCUUAGUACGAGAGGACCGGGAUGGACAUACCUCUGGUGUACCAGUUGUCGUGCCAACGGCAUAGCUGGGUAGCUAUGUGUGGACGGGAUAAGUGCUGAAAGCAUCUAAGCAUGAAGCCCCCCUCAAGAUGAGAUUUCCCAACUUCGGUUAUAAGAUCCCUCAAAGAUGAUGAGGUUAAUAGGUUCGAGGUGGAAGCAUGGUGACAUGUGGAGCUGACGAAUACUAAUCGAUCGAAGACUUAAUCAA